rnacentral:rRNA from 1 species
ACGUAGGUGGCAAGCGUUGUCCGGAUUUAUUGGGUUUAAAGGGUGCGUAGGCGGUAGCCUAAGUCAGUUGUGAAAUACGGCAGCUUAACUGUCGAGGUGCAAUUGAUACUGGGUUACUUGAGUACUGAUGAGGUAUGCGGAAUGGACGGUGUAGCGGUGAAAUGCUUAGAUAUCGUCCAGAACACCGAUAGCGAAGGCAGCAUACUAAGGAGUAACUGACGCUGAGGCACGAAAGUGUGGGGAUCAAACAGGAUUAGAUACCCUGGUAGUCCACACUGUAAACGAUGAUCACUCGAUGUUGGCGAUACACGGCCAGCGUCUUAGCAAAAGCGAUAAGUGAUCCACCUGGGGAGUACGCCGGCAACGGUG